rnacentral:rRNA from 1 species
GGGUCAGUAGGUUGGUCGUGCCACCGGUACGUACUGGUCUCACUGAUUCCUCCUUCCUGAGGAACCGUAACGCCAUUAAUUUGGUGUUGCGGGGAAACAGGACUGUUACUUUGAGAAAAUUAGAGUGUUUAAAGCAAGCUAACGCUUGGAUACAUUAGCAUGGAAUAAUGAAAUAGGACGAUCGAUCCUAUUUUGUUGGUUUCUAGGAUUGACGUA